rnacentral:rRNA from 1 species
GCAGCCGCGGUAAUUCCAGCUCCAAUAGCGUAUAUUAAAGUUGUUGCAGUUAAAAAGCUCGUAGUUGAAUUUCGGGGUUCUACCGUUGGUCGGGCAAUAGUCUGUACUGGCGUGUGGAAUUUCUACCUUCUGGGGAACCAUCAUGUUAUUAAUUUAGCGUGGUGGGAAACCAGGACCUUUACCUUGAAAAAAUUAGAGUGUUCAAAGCAGGCUUACGUCUGAAUACAUUAGCAUGGAAUAAUAAAAUAGGACGGUGGUCCUGUUUUGUUGGUUUCUGAAUCACCGUAAUGAUUAAUAGGGAUAGUUGGG